rnacentral:rRNA from 1 species
ACAGCAGUAGCCGCGGGAAAACGAAGGGGGCUAGCGUUGCUCGGAAUUACUGGGCGUAAAGGGAGCGUAGGCGGAUAGUUUAGUCAGAGGUGAAAGCCCAGGGCUCAACCUUGGAAUUGCCUUUGAUACUGGCUAUCUUGAGUACGGAAGAGGUAUGUGGAACUCCGAGUGUAGAGGUGAAAUUCGUAGAUAUUCGGAAGAACACCAGUGGCGAAGGCGACAUACUGGUCCGUUACUGACGCUGAGGCUCGAAAGCGUGGGGAGCAAACAGGAUUAGAUACCCCUGUAGUCCCUGUCUCUUAUAA